GGGGUCUGACAGUCGGUCACAGUUGGCAUCAAAGAUCCAGGAGAGGGGGCAGGGAGAGAGAGAGGGGCAGAAGUCUGAGGUGUGUGUGAGCGUUAAGAGAAGGAAGGGCCCUGCGUUCGGUCUCCUUUCAUUCACCUCCGGCCAAACGCAGGACAUAAACAAGUGAGGAAGAGGAGAAGGAAGGAAAAAGGGCCGACUUCAUUCUCUCUCUCCCUGAAGAGGCAGAGUAAUAGAAGAGUUCAUUCCUCCUGGUUGGCUGAAACCAGGAACAAACUUUUCCUCUCUGCUCCGCGGCCCCUGGAAGCCCCGCCCCCUCAGACAUGACGCUGCUGGCAGCCGAGAGGUCCCUCCUCAUCAGGAACAAGUUCCGCUCAGUGCUGCAGCUGAGGAUUCAGAACAGAAAACAGAACGAGAUCAAUGCAGACUCUGGGUUGAAGACAACCUGUCCUUCUCGGAAAGGAGAGGGAGACCAGAGUGAAGCUCUGCGUCUCCCUGAUGACGGAGCCACUCAGACGUCGCCCCCUAGUGGUUUGCAUACGGAUACUGCAAAAGACAGGAAUGUGUGUGGCGCUCAGAGACGGACUAAGCCUCAGAAGACAAUUAUCCUCAAUGGGAAAGCCCAAUAUCCAACCAGGUCCCAGGAGCAGCAGCACAGACAUACACUGCUCCCGGAGAACUGUCCUGCCUUCCUCCCCCUCUCCUCGGAUGUCUUCGAAGAGGACAUCUCCUCCCCCCGCUCCUCUUCCUCCUCCUCCCCCCCUGAACGCCACGCCCUCCGCAGAUCCCCCCUUCUCCCCGUCUCCGGGGCUGGCGG
ensembl:lncRNA